rnacentral:rRNA from 1 species
UACGUAGGGUGCAGGCGUUAAUCGGAAUUACUGGGCGUAAGCGUGCGCAGGCGGUCUUUUAAGUCAGAUGUGAAAUCCCCGGGCUUAACCUGGGAACUGCAUUGGUGACUGGCGGGCUAGAGUAUGGCAGAGGGGGGUAGAAUUCCACGUGUAGCAGUGAAAUGCGUAGAGAUGUGGAGGAAUACCGAUGGCGAAGGCAGCCCCCUGGGCCAAUACGUGACGCUCAUGCACGAAAGCGUGGGGAGCAAACAGG